rnacentral:rRNA from 1 species
AACGAACGCUGGCGGCAUGCCUAACACAUGCAAGUCGAACGAGACCUUCGGGUCUAGUGGCGCACGGGUGCGUAACGCGUGGGAACCUGCCCUUAGGUUCGGAAUAACUCCCCGAAAGGGGUGCUAAUACCGGAUAAUGUCUUCGGACCAAAGAUUUAUCGCCUUUGGAUGGGCCCGCGUUGGAUUAGCUAGUUGGUAGGGUAAAAGCCUACCAAGGCGACGAUCCAUAGCUGGUCUGAGAGGAUGAUCAGCCACACUGGGACUGAGACACGGCCCAGACUCCUACGGGAGGAAGAAGUGGGGAAUAUUGGACAAUGGGCGAAAGACUGAUCCAGCAAUGCCGCGUGAGUGAUGAAGGCCUUAGGGUUGUAAAGCUCUUUUACCCGGGAUGAUAAUGACAGUACCGGGAGAAUAAGCUCCGGCUAACUCCGUG